rnacentral:lncRNA from 1 species
CAAAACCUUUUCGGCCUCUAAGCUGGGACCUCGCCAACAUAGUAGGAACUGCGAACUGCACUGGCCACUGGACCAUAUCAAGGUCUAAUGACAGAUAACCGAAUCGAGGCGUCUCAAACGUCGGUGGCAGAAAAUCACCCUGCGCCAUCAGAUCGGACGAAAAACUAACGAUAGGCAAGGUAUAAUCGAGGAAACCUGCGAGGAAAAAUACAGCGCUGCAUUGCUCUACUUCUCCGCCGCGUCGUCAUAUUUCUCUCGGAGUUUAUGGAUUUGCAGGGUUAAGUGCAACUAGAUAAGGGGGGAAUUUGGCAACAGUGGAUUUUGUGACCGACGUUUGCGCCACCAUCAUCAUGCUUUUCUAUGGCGGGUCACAGUGACCCACCAGCCGAGUGGGCGAGAAAACUUCGCCGCUUCGAGACAGUUUCCCGAGUUCAUUGUCAGUAGUGCAAAUCUCACUCAGUGAUGCAUUUGAAGGUCCUUUUCGCGUUGGUGAUUUUGUUUGCCGUUAGGUUCCGGGCGGCGGCGACCUCCUCGAGCGACGAGCGGACGAGAGAGCGGCAGAACGGAUUCAAAGGGAAGAACUACCCUCUUGGGGCGCCCAAUUCCAACUCGCGGAAGCUCCAACGCGAGGAGUCGACCAGCGGAGAGAGCGAGGAGAACGAGAAAGACACCCGUGACCGGGCCCAACUCCCGGCCCCUGCUCACUCGCACAGGGGUCACCGACACCCCCUUGGGCCCGCCGGCGCUGGGGGAGGUGUAGGAGGAGGCGGAGGGGGUGGCGCCCCUUUCUCCCAGUAUAGCUACGGAUACUCGAUCCCCGACCAUGAGUUCGACCACAACCAGAAUCAAGGCCGGUACCAUAAUGAGGGUGCGCAAAACUACCAGCGGCCGACCCCACCUCAGCAUUUCUUCCACCACAGCCCUUACGACCGGUUCCAGCAGUACGACUACGACGCGGAGCGAGAGCGGGCGGCCAAGUCGGGACCUGAAGCACCGCCACCCCCGCGGGCCCACCAACCCCACCCCCACCAGGGCCACCAGGGCGUCCCUGCCUUGCGGCACGUGAUCCCGGUGGCGCGGCUGGCGUCGCCGUUCCCGUACCCGCUGGGCUACUCGCCGCCGGUGACGCCCUUCGGGUUCCUCCCCCACUUGGCGCCCCCGAUCACCUACCUGGCCCAGCCGACGCCCGUCAUCUCCCAGUCCGUCCCGGCCGUCGUCGCCUCCGCCACGCACGGCGCCCAGAUCGCCCUCCCCGUCGCCCACGCCGGCGUCGCUGACGUCCCCUACCACGUCACCACCGCCGGGGACGAGACCCAGCUCCAAGCCCACCAACAGUGAGCGUCGUGCGAGGAUAAAACUUCCGGUACACAUUGAGAAAAAUUAGGUUUUGAUGUUACCGGAGUAGUCAUAUUGAUACAGCUUUCCCGGGACUUCAAGAGGAAACAUUGCUGAUAGUCCGAUAUUUACCUGACUUACAAUGGAGACGUUGCAUGUGUGAGGAAUUUCCGAUUUGACAAUUGAUUCAUACGUGAAAGUUCGCGAGAAACACGAUGGUGCCACUGGUUUUCUCUGAAAUCAACUCCCAAACUCAGAAAAAGCUCUCAAGUUGAGGCCAAAAUGGAGGGGAUAUCCCACGCUAUCCCGAGAGUCCACCUCUACAUCAAGACAAACUCUCCAUGCAAAGAUAGGGAGCAAAUACAUUGACAGGGCUGCCACUUUAUUUGGAGACCCCAAAGUGAAAUCACGGCAACCCUGUCAAUGUAUUAGCUCCCUAUCUUUGCACGGAGAGUUUGUCUUGAUGUAAAGGUGGACUCUCAGGAUAGCGUGGGAUAUCCCCUCCAUUUUGGCUUCAACUUGAGACAUUUUUUUGAGCUUAGGAGUUGAUUUCAGAGAAAACCAGUGGCACCAUCGUGUUUCUCGCGAACUUUUACAUAAGAAUCAAUUGUCAAAUCGCAAAUUCCUCACACAUGCAACAUCUCCAUUAGAAGAACUCGGUCAUCAACGGUGUAAUGAAGCUAGCAACGUUUCAUCGUGGUAAUAGGAAAUCUGCUGGCAUGAAAUGGAAACGGUAUUAACCCUCUAUGGCAAAGCGUUGCGAAUUCGUAACUGUUUCGGGUUUUUAAAAAUUAAAUCUUUCCUCUGCGGCAUGAUUUUGCAAAUUUUCAUUAGUUUUUCUUUUUUUGAACAACUAAUUCCCAAAAAUUCAAAAUUUUGAAAAAAAAUUGGUACUCUAUGUUUUCAUACUGGCUAUAUGCUACAAAAUAGAUUAGUGUCCCCCAGAAUCUAAGAUCCAAAAUUAAUUCAUGCCAUGGAGGGUAGUCCAAACUUUCUAAGUACCUCAACCAUUAUUCGAGUUAUAUAAAUACGUAAACCAAUCAAAUGAAUUCUUACGAGGGAAUCGUUAAAAGUUACGACUUAAUCCUCUGAAUCGAAAUUUAGCUUGGGGGUCAAGACAAUUUGUCUCAUUGUCAGUGCAAGAUAGGAUUUUAUCUUCAGUACUUCGUAAGGAACGACGAAGUUUUAAGUCCAUACAACCAACAUUCCAGUCGUAAAAUCGAACCUAGGUUCAGAUAUCCUAAGUUUUCGAUGCAUAACGAGCCUAGAAAAGACGAGCAGAAACUCUAGUUACAUGCGCUAAAACCCACAACCUUCAACCGAAUAGUUCGGUUACCUGGACUGAAAACUGGUAUUUCAUACGGACUAAAGUUUCAUUUUAUUUUAUGGUUUUUUUUUUUCGAAUAAACCGUAGAAUGUGUCAUAGCUGUAACACAUCACAAAAAGCCGUGCAAAAUCCAUGCCUCAAAUAUAUAAUCCACUGUGGUUUUUGGGAGGUUUCAAUACUUUAGGGGAGGGGGGUGUGUGUCCAACUUUCAAUGUUGAUCCAACUCUGGUUAUAGGCUGAUAGUUAUACGGUUUGAAAUAUUGUAAAUGAAUGUUGCUUCAUACGAACCGUAUUUUUCUUUUUGGGUAAUAAAAAAUUUUCAAAUAAGAAAAAACAACUUAAUUUUACGUCAAUUAAACACUAAUCAAUGGGGCACGUCCAAUUUAAGGGCUAGCGAAGACAAGCUAUGCGGGCAUUUCUUGUUAAUCGAGACAAACAGAGCAGAUCCUCCCUUCGUUUAAAAAAAUGAACGAAUCAAUACUUAAAAAUGUGAUAAAACUUGACUACAAAAGUUUCAAAGGAUUUACGUAAACACACUUGCACUUAAAAGCACUGCGUUAUCCUUUAAAGGCCAAAACAGAAUCCCAAUCAAUUCACCAGCCGCGUCUAGGGUGUAGAUAAAAGGAUAAAUACAUUCAUCUCGCUCUGUUAACUCCAAACUCAGCUUGAACCGGAGGGCACGAGGCCAUUGAUAAGCUAAAAUGACUGAUUGUUCUCAACUUGAACCAGCAUCGCAAAACAUUGUAGCGACUUCCAAUAGAGGAAGCAAGAAGCCGUGAGAACGGCAGGCGUUCCUAAACAGCGUUCCGGAGCGGAAUUUCUUCGAUGAAAUUUCAUAUUUUGCAAGGCGCGUUUCAGGGCGGCGAAGAGUGAGUGUGAACUGUAACGAAACGAGGAACCGCUGCUGCGUAUAUCAUUAGUUUUUAUUAGCGCGGUUACGCGCGGACGCCGAACAUCCGCCGAACUCCCCGUCGCACAGUGCACUAAAUCAUCGGGAGUAGGUUUUUUUUUUUUUUUUUUUUUUUUUUUUUUUAAUGAUUCUUACCCAUGGUGGUGACAAAAAUGAGUUCGUUCACACCCCAAUCUAUUCGAGGCACGAGAGAAAGCGAUCGGGAGAAGUUGAACGUAACAUUUUUGACUGAACUGCAAAUUUUAAUGUUUAUUUCGUCACCCUAUGACUCACAAAGAAUGUUUAUUCAAUUGUGACAAUGUUGAUCAACCAAUAUUAAUAAAAAUGGUAACUGGAGAUAAUUUUUAGCGUCCUUUUCAUUUUUGACCUCCAAAGAAAGGAAAACUCAUUUUGAGGGAGGUUUGCGGAGGUAUUGAACCUAAAUGAGGCCAAAAUUAUUGUUUUUAGCGACAAAAAUUGAUUUUGAUGGCACCACUUCAUUCAGCGUUGAAAAAUAUUGAGAAAAUGUCCCUUACGGUUUUUCGUAUGACUCAUUGUUUUUUAUAUAAUGGAGACCAUAAUAGGGACUAUACUGGAGAGAUAAUAGGGAAUAACAGGGAAAUCCCCAGGGAAAGCGUUUUGGGAAAUAAAGUUUUACCACAAAAACUUUUUUUUUUGACCCAAAGAAUUGACUCCAUCAAUAUUCCUGAUUAAUACUGGGACACCCUGUAUUCUUUUACCCUCAGUUAUAAAUCCUCUGGAUCGUUUGUAAGAAUCCAGUUCCAAAGUAUACUGCUGAAUUUUAUGUUCAAGGCUUCCUUACAACUCCCUUAAUCCCGAUGCAAACCAUGUAUAACCAUGUCAACCAUAUAAACUAUGUGCAACCAUGUAAUAAGAAAAGGAUCCGUUUAAGGAACGACUAUAAAUCUAAGUUUCGUUUUAACGAAGAUCUGAGCUUUUAAAACUUCCAAAUCAUGUCCUAUCUCUUUCAUUGCCUUUUCACUGUGCGUCGGCCCGCGCCCAGUACGCGAUUCGGUCGCGAGGUGGCGCGCGCGUCGUCGCGUCGCGCGGCCAACGAUCCAAAGGUAAAAGCACUUAUCUUUCGCCACGCUGAGAUAUGAUAUUCGGUAAUGGGUCUUACUCAAACCCCGGCCGGGCGCCGAAUCGCAAAUCCCUCGAUUAGAUAAUCGCAAUUAGAGUCGCCCUCAUGAGAAAAUUGCGGACCGUUGCACUGCGUUGCCCCCGGCGACGCUCUCGCUACGUCAAAGUAUCGGUGCAGCUUCGGCAUUCCUUCAUACUGUCGUCGAACUAGGGAGAACCGUAAGUGGAAAUAAGAAGUCGAGAAAAAGGGAACUUAGGGUGCGGUACUUCAAAACCCAUUUCAAGCAAUUUCUUAACUUAGAAAGCCCCAUCCCCAUGAGGCAUGUUCGAUUAACGAUUAUCUAUAAGAAAUCGGAAAAUCGAUGAUCAGUAAUCGAAACAUGAAGCUAGUCGAUCAAGCGCUUAGUUGGCGGCGAUAUAUUCGAUUAAUUGAUAAUCGGUAGUUCAUUGAUUUUUUUCGAAAUUUGCUAAAAGUAGCCAGUUUGAAAACUAAAAUAGCUGGAAUUUUGGAUGAAUUCGCGCGAAAAACGUUAUUAAGCAUGACCUCAAAUUUCCGAUUAAUCGAAAACUGAGAAUUGAUUAGACUCAAACAGAUAACUGUUAAACGAAAGGCUCUAUUAAUGGAUUAAUCGAUUACUAAUAGAUAAUCGGAACAUGCCUCCUUCACGUUCUUACGUGGUGAUUAAGGGAAGUUUGAGGAUGCUCUUAUCAAAGUAUCAUAAAAAGGUCAAUUUUUACGAAUUUCACAUGAAAUGUACUAAAUUUUUAUUAAAGAUACGUGUAAAAUCGGGCUUUCCUACCAAAUAUAUUCAAUUUAGGUACUUUAGUACAGAAAGACACUAAUGGGCGUAGAGUUGUUCCUGAAAUGAGCCAGAAAUACUACUCAAUUACACACCGCAAAGUGAAGUCCGCACUUGACCGUCAUUGGCGGGUAAUUUUAUACGAUGCUUUAUCUUCGAUUUGUGCGAAAGGUUUUUUUACGAAAAAGUAUAUUUGUAGUUUAGAAGAAUAUUUGGAUUAUUUUAAUAUUAUUUUUUAAUUUGCAGCGCAAUGUGUCUAUGCGCUUACAGUUAGAGUAACGUGUUGUAAGGUUGUUUUGAUUUGUUACGCAACAUUAUUUCAUUGAAUGUAGUUUAAGUGUAUUUUUUAAGUUAAAAUUCCUGUGAUAAAUACAUUUUCGAGUACUUAAGACCAAUUUUACCACCAGUUUUUUCCUUCAUUUGAUGUAAACAUCAAGUGCCUGGGCGUUCCAGGGUGAUAUGAUCGGGCAUAACCUCUGGGGCCGAAUUUUGUCGGCUUUUUCACACGGAGUGCAAAAGCCAUCGAUGUGUUCAAACCGCACCACCGGCCAAUCAGAAGCGCGAAGCCGGCGACUUAAGUGCAGUCGAGACCCGUUCUAAGUGAACAUAUACAGUACAUACGGUGUACGGCUGUAUAAGUACGGUGGAAGGACCGACAAAAUUCGGCCCUGGAGUAAUCUUUCCUCUUCUUCUGCCGUGCUAAGGAAGAACGCCGUAUGAGCCUUCAG